rnacentral:rRNA from 1 species
CGGAGGGUGCAAGCGUUAAUCGGAAUUACUGGGCGUAAAGGGUUCGUAGGUGGUUUAUUAAGUUAUUUGUAAAAUCCCUGGGCUUAACCUGGGCAGGUCAGAUAAUACUGGCAGACUCGAGUAUGGGAGAGGGUAGUGGAAUUUCCGGUGUAGCGGUGGAAACUGCGUAGAGAUCGGAAGGAACACCAGUGGCGAAGGCGGCUACCUGGCCUAAUACUGACACUGAGGAACGAAAGCGUGGGGAGCAAACAGGAUUAGAUACCCUGGUAGUCCACGCCGUAAACGAUGGUCAACUAGCUGUUGGUCCAUAUUGAUAUGAUUACGUGGCGCAGCAAACGCGAUAAGUUGACCGCCUGGGGAGUACGGUCGCAAGAUUA